rnacentral:lncRNA from 1 species
GCCCUGUUUCUGCAUGUUGGAGCUCUGUUCCUUCACAGCACAGCUACAUGCUAGGGCACUACAACCCUGCACAUGGACUGUGCAUUCAGAGCUCCUAUACCUAUGGGAUUUGACCAUACCAAGUGCCUUCUCCACUUCCACCAUGAGAACUGUACCUACUCUGUGGUGGAGGUCCAAGACUCAAGAAAGCAAUGUAUUGUUCACAACUGGAUUGUGUAAUGCCCUUCUGAUGGGUCUACAGCUCCUGGAG